rnacentral:rRNA from 1 species
AUGGAAGACUAUGUACAUGAGUACUACUCAAUUAGCAGAUUUAGGGCAGCAUAUGAAGGUGUAAUUGAGCCCCUUACGGACAAGAAUCAAUGGCCACACGUGGACACAGGCUUUGUGUUGCGUCCACCAAUUCCAAUAGGCAAGAAGAAAGGUGCUGGAAGAACAAGAAAACAGAGGAUAAAGAGUUGGUGGGAAGGUGGAUCAAGGAAAGGAUCCUUGAAUAAAUGCAAAAAAUGCGGGGAGGUAGGACAUAGAGAAGCUGGCUGUCCUCAAAAUGGAACAAAGAAAAGGAAAAGUAGGGGGAAAAAGAAUCCAUCUCCAUGGUUUGAUGUUUCAGUUAGCAAUGUCGUUCCAUCUACACCAACCAAGAGCAAGAAUGAUGCCACUUGUAGCAGUCCUGGAGCUGUCAUAAGAAGCUAA